rnacentral:lncRNA from 1 species
CUGCAUACAGAAUCAACAAGAUAACUUGUCAAUUAGCAUUGCAGUAGAGUGCAACUUUCUGUUUACGUUCUGAACAAAGAAUAUCCAUCCUUUUGAUUGGUGCCCAAUACAGCAAGCUGCAGCAGAGAGGGAAUUUAUAAUGAUCACAGUAAAUGCUGACACCAUUGGAACAAAUGUGCUUGCAAAUCAAAUAGAAAUACACUCCAUUGGACUCAUGAGCUUUUAAAGUGCUUUGUCACAGAGGUAGGUGUAUUUUGCAGGAACUCAAGUUUUACGGUUUAAUUCAGAUGCUUUGUAAUUAACU